rnacentral:rRNA from 1 species
UCACCAGACUCCUACGGGAGGCAGCAGUGGGGAAUAUUGGACAAUGGGGGGAACCCUGAUCCAGCGACGCCGCGUGAGUGGAGAAGUCUUUCGGUAUGUAAAGCUCUAUCAGCAGGGAAGAAAAUGACGGUACCUGACUAAGAAGCCCCGGCUAACUACGUGCCAGCAGCCGCGGUAAUACGUAGGGGGCAGCGUUUAUCCGGAUUUAUUGGGUGUAAAGGGAGCGUAGACGGCAGCGCAAGUCUGGAGUGAAAUGCCGGGGCCCAACCCCGGAACUGCUUUGGAAACUGCGCAGCUCGAGUGCAGGAGAGGUAAGCGGAAUUCCUAGUGUAGCGGUGAAAUGCGUAGAUAUUAGGAGGAACACCAGUGGCGAGGGCGGCUUACUGGACUGUAACUGACGUUGAGGCUCGAAAGCGUGGGGAGCAAACAGGAUUAGAUACCCGCGUA